CCUACGGGAGGCAGCAGUGGGGAAUAUUGCUCAAUGGGCGCAACCCUGAUGCAGCGAAGUCGCGUGAGUGAAGAAGUAAUUCGUUAUGUAAAGCUCUAUCAGCAGGGAAGCAAAUGACGGUACCUGAGUAAGUCGCCCCGGCUAACUACGUGCCAGCAGCCGCGGGAAUAAGUAGGGGGCCAGAGUUAUCCGGAUUUACUGGGUGUUAAGGGAGCGUAGACGGCAUUGCAAGUCUGGAGGGAAAGGCGGGGGCUCAAACCUCGGAGUGCUGUUGAAACUGGACGGCUUGAGUGAAGGAGAGGUAAGUGGAAUGCGUGGUGUAGCGGUGAAAUGCGUAGAUAUUAGGAGGAACUCCAGUGGCGAAGGCAGCUUACCGGAGUGUAACUGACGUUGAGGCUCGAAAGCGUGGGGAGCAAACAGGAUUAGAUACCCUAGUAGUC
rnacentral:rRNA from 1 species